GUCGAGCGCCCCGCAAGGGGAGCGGCAGACGGGUGAGUAACGCGUGGGAAACACCCAUCUCUACGGAACAACUCCGGGAAACUGGAGCUAAUACCGUAUACGUCCUUCGGGAGAAAGAUUUAUCGGAGAUGGAUGAGCCCGCGUUGGAUUAGCUAGUUGGUGGGGUAAUGGCCUACCAAGGCGACGAUCCAUAGCUGGUCUGAGAGGAUGAUCAGCCACACUGGGACUGAGACACGGCCCAGACUCCUACGGGAGGCAGCAGUGGGGAAUAUUGGACAAUGGGCGAAAGCCUGAUCCAGCCAUGCCGCGUGAGUGAUGAAGGCCCUAGGGUUGUAAAGCUCUUUCAACGGUGAAGAUAAUGACGGUAACCGUAGAAGAAGCCCCGGCUAACUUCGUGCCAGCAGCCGCGGUAAUACGAAGGGGGCUAGCGUUGUUCGGAAUUACUGGGCGUAAAGCGCACGUAGGCGGAUACUUAAGUCAGGGGUGAAAUCCCGGGGCUCAACCCCGGAACUGCCUUUGAUACUGGGUAUCUGGAGUCCGGAAGAGGUGAGUGGAAUUCCGAGUGUAGAGGUGAAAUUCGUAGAUAUUCGGAGG
rnacentral:rRNA from 1 species